rnacentral:lncRNA from 1 species
AUGACUAUUCACCAACACUGUCUUCACCACCACCAUCAUCAUCACCCUCACCACCACCUCCAUCACCACCACCACCACCAUCAUCGCCCCUCCACCUCCAUCACCACCACCAUCAUCACCCCUCCACCACCUCCAUCACCACCACCACCAUCAUCACCCCUCCACCUCCAUCACCACCACCAUCAUCACCCCUCCACCUCCAUCACCACCACCACCACCAUCAUCACCCCUUCACCUCCAUCACCACCACCAUCAUCGCCCCUCCACCUCCAUCACCACCACUAUCAUCACCCCUCCACCUCCAUCACCACCACCACCACCAUCAUCACCCCUUCACCUCCAUCACCACCACCAUCAUCGCCCCUCCACCUCCAUCACCACCACCAUCAUCGCCCCUCCACCUCCAUCACCACCACCAUCAUCACCCCUCCACCACCUCCAUCACCACCACCACCAUCAUCACCCCUCCACCUCCAUCAUCACCACCAUCAUCGCCCCUCCACCUCCAUCACCACCACCACCAUCAUCACCCCUCCACCUCCAUCAUCACCACCAUCAUCGCCCCUCCACCUCCAUCACCACCACCAUCAUCGCCCCUCCACCUCCAUCACCACCACCAUCAUCGCCCCUCCACCUCCAUCACCACCACCACCACCAUCAUCACCCCUUCACCUCCAUCACCACCACCAUCAUCGCCCCUCCACCUCCAUCACCACCACCAUCAUCAUCGCCCCUCCACCACCUCCAUCACUGCCACCACCAUCAUCGCCCCUCCACCUCCAUCACCACCACCAUCAUCACCCCUCCACCACCUCCAUCACCACCACCACCAUCAUCACCCCUCCACCUCCAUCACCACCACCAUCAUCACCCCUCCACCUCCAUCACCACCACCACCACCAUCAUCACCCCUUCACCUCCAUCACCACCACCAUCAUCGCCCCUCCACCUCCAUCACCACCACCAUCAUCGCCCCUCCACCUCCAUCACCACCACCAUCAUCACCCCUCCACCACCUCCAUCACCACCACCACCAUCAUCACCCCUCCACCUCCAUCAUCACCACCAUCAUCGCCCCUCCACCUCCAUCACCACCACCAUCAUCGCCCCUCCACCUCCAUCACCACCACCAUCAUCGCCCCUCCACCUCCAUCACCACCACCACCACCACCAUCACCCCUUCACCUCCAUCACCACCACCAUCAUCGCCCCUCCACCUCCAUCACCACCACCACCAUCAUCACUCCUCCACCUCCAUCACCACCACCAUCAUCGCCCCUCCACCUCCAUCACCACCACCACCACCAUCAUCACCCCUUCACCUCCAUCACCACCACCAUCAUCGCCCCUCCACCUCCAUCACCACCACCACCAUCAUCACUCCUCCACCUCCAUCACCACCACCAUCAUCGCCCCUCCACCUCCAUCACCACCACCACCACCAUCAUCACCCCUUCACCUCCAUCACCACCACCAUCAUCGCCCCUCCACCUCCAUCACCACCACCACCAUCAUCACUCCUCCACCUCCAUCACCACCACCAUCAUCGCCCCUCCACCUCCAUCACCACCACCACCACCAUCAUCACUCCUCCACCUCCAUCACCACCACCAUCAUCGCCCCUCCACCUCCAUCACCACCACCAUCAUCACCCCUCCACCUCCAUCACCACCACUACCACCAUCAUCACCCCUCCACCUCCAUCACCACCACCACCACCAUCAUCGCCCCUCCACCUCCAUCACCACCACCAUCAUCACCCCUCCACCACCUCCAUCACCACCACCACCAUCAUCACCCCUCCACCUCCAUCACCACCACCAUCAUCGCCCCUCCACCUCCAUCACCACCACCAUCAUCACCCCUCCACCUCCAUCACCACCACCAUCAUCGCCCCUCCACCUCCAUCACCACCACCACCACCAUCAUCACCCCUUCACCUCCAUCACCACCACCAUCAUCGCCCCUCCACCUCCAUCACCACCACCACCAUCAUCACCCCUCCACCUCCAUCACCACCACUACCACCAUCAUCACCCCUCCACCUCCAUCACCACCACCACCACCAUCAUCGCCCCUCCACCUCCAUCACCACCACCAUCAUCACCCCUCCACCACCUCCAUCACCACCACCACCAUCAUCACCCCUCCACCUCCAUCACCACCACCAUCAUCGCCCCUCCACCUCCAUCACCACCACCACCACCAUCAUCACCCCUCCACCUCCAUCACCACCACCACCAUCAUCACCCCUCCACCUCCAUCACCACCACCACCAUCAUCACCCCUCCACCUCCAUCACCACCACCAUCAUCACCCCUCCACCACCUCCAUCACCACCACCAUCAUCACCCCUCCACCACCUCCAUCACCACCACCAUCAUCACCCCUCCACCUCCAUCACCACCACUACCACCAUCAUCACCCCUCCACCUCCAUCACCACCACCACCACCAUCAUCGCCCCUCCACCUCCAUCACCACCACCAUCAUCACCCCUCCACCACCUCCAUCACCACCACCACCAUCAUCACCCCUCCACCUCCAUCACCACCACCAUCAUCACCCCUCCACCUCCAUCACCACCACCAUCAUAACCCCUCCACCUCCAUCAUCACCACCAUCAUCACCCCUCCACCUCCAUCACCACCAUCACCAUCAUCACCCCUCCACCUCCAACACCACCACCACCAUCACCCCUCCACCUCCAUCAUCACCACCAUCAUCACCCCUCCACCUCCGUCAUCACAGUCACCAUUGCCACCAUCACUAG